rnacentral:rRNA from 1 species
AGAACGAACGCUGGCGGCAUGCCUAAUACAUGCAAGUCGAACGAACUCUUCGGAGUUAGUGGCGCACGGGUGCGUAACGCGUGGGAAUCUGCCCCUUGGUUCGGAAUAACAGUUGGAAACGACUGCUAAUACCGGAUGAUGACGAAAGUCCAAAGAUUUAUCGCCAAGGGAUGAGCCCGCGUAGGAUUAGCUAGUUGGUGAGGUAAAGGCUCACCAAGGCAACGAUCCUUAGCUGGUCUGAGAGGAUGAUCAGCCACACUGGGACUGAGACACGGCCCAGACUCCUACGGGAGGCAGCAGUAGGGAAUAUUGGACAAUGGGCGAAAGCCUGAUCCAGCAAUGCCGCGUGAGUGAUGAAGGCCUUAGGUUGUAAAGGCUCUUUUACCCGAGAUGAUAAUGACAGUAUCGGAGAAUAAGCCCGGCUAACUCCGUGCCAGCAGCCGC